UACGUAGGGUGCGAGCGUUGUCCGGAAUUAUUGGGCGUAAAGGGCUCGUAGGCGGUUUGUCGCGUCGGGUGUGAAAACGCCGUGCUUAACACGGCGCUUGCUUUCGAUACGGGCAGACUAGAGGUAUGCAGGGGAGAACGGAAUUCCUGGUGUAGCGGUGAAAUGCGCAGAUAUCAGGAGGAACACCGGUGGCGAAGGCGGGUCUCUGGGCCGUAACUGACGCUGAGGAGCGAAAGCGUGGGGAGCGAACAGG
rnacentral:rRNA from 1 species